GAUGAACGCUGGCGGCGUGCCUAAUACAUGCAAGUCGAGCGAACAGACGAGGAGCUUGCUCCUCUGACGUUAGCGGCGGACGGGUGAGUAACACGUGGAUAACCUACCUAUAAGACUGGGAUAACUUCGGGAAACCGGAGCUAAUACCGGAUAAUAUAUUGAACCGCAUGGUUCAAUAGUGAAAGACGGUUUUGCUGUCACUUAUAGAUGGAUCCGCGCCGCAUUAGCUAGUUGGUAAGGUAACGGCUUACCAAGGCAACGAUGCGUAGCCGACCUGAGAGGGUGAGCGGCCACACUGGAACUGAGACACGGUCCAGACUCCUACGGGAGGCAGCAGUAGGGAAUCUGCCGCAAGGGGCGAAAGCCUGACGGAGCAACGCCGCGUGAGUGAUGAAGGUCUUCGGAUUGUAAAACUCUGUUAUUAGGGAAGAACAAAUGUGUAAGUAACUAUGCACGUCUUGACGGUACCUAAUCAGAAAGCCACGGCUAACUACGUG
rnacentral:rRNA from 1 species